rnacentral:rRNA from 1 species
UGGCUUAAUUUGACUCAACGCGGGAAAUCUUACCGGGUCCGGACACACUGAGGAUUGACAGACAAAUAUAGAAAUUUUAUAUUUCUUAUAUAUAAAGAUGCUAGUUCUUUCAUGAUUAUGUGAUAGGUGGUGCAUGGCCGUUCUUAGUUCGUGGAGUGAUCUGUCUGCUUAAUUGCGUUUCAAUUUUUAUUAUGUAUACGUAUGACCCACGUUUACGCGUGCGAGUCUAGUAUGCUAUCAUUUGAAAGCAACGAACGUGACCGUAUCCUUUUAUUAUAUACGCACGCGUAUAUUUAUUCAUUAAAGGGACCGCUGUUUCUUUUUUUAAACCAGAGGAAGGUUACGGCAAUAACAGGUCUGUGAUGCCC